GACGAACGCUGGCGGCGUGCCUAAUACAUGCAAGUAGAACGCACAGGAUACACCGUAGUUUACUACACCGUAUUCUGUGAGUUGCGAACGGGUGAGUAACGCGUAGGUAACCUGCCUGGUAGCGGGGGAUAACUAUUGGAAACGAUAGCUAAUACCGCAUAAGAACAUUUACUGCAUGGUAGAUGUUUAAAAGGUGCAAAUGCAUCACUACCAGAUGGACCUGCGUUGUAUUAGCUAGUAGGUGAGGUAACGGCUCACCUAGGCGACGAUACAUAGCCGACCUGAGAGGGUGAUCGGCCACACUGGGACUGAGACACGGCCCAGACUCCUACGGGAGGCAGCAGUAGGGAAUCUUCGGCAAUGGGGGGAACCCUGACCGAGCAACGCCGCGUGAGUGAAGAAAGGUUUUUCGGAUUCGUAAAAGCUUCUGUUGUUAAAGGAAAGAAACGAAGUGUGAGAAAGGAAAAGUUCC
rnacentral:rRNA from 1 species